rnacentral:rRNA from 1 species
AUCGAACGCUGGCGGCAGGCCUAACACAUGCAAGUCGAACGAGUGGCGGACGGGUGAGUAAUGUCGGGGAAACUGCCUGAUGGAGGGGGAUAACUACGGGAAACGGUAGCUAAUACUGCAAACCAUCAGAUGUGCCCAGAUGGGAUUAGCUUGUUGGUGGGGUAACGGCUCACCAAGGCGACGAUCCCUACCUGGCCUGCGAGGAUGACCGGCCACACUGGAGCUGGAACAGGGUCAAGACUCCUGCGGGAGGCAGCAGUGGGGAAUAUUGCGCAAUAGGCGCAAGCCUGAUGCAGCCGUGCCGCGUGUAUGAAGGAAACCUUCGGGUUGUAAAGUACUUUCGGCGGGGGGGCGUUACCCGCAGAAGAAGCACCGGCUAACUCCGUGCCAGCCGCCGCGGUAAUAC